GCGGAGUCUCGCUGCUCCCCGAACUGGGUCUGCGUGUUCGUCCCGCGUUAUUGGCGGGAAACGUGAGUACGGCCAUGGGACCGUUUAAGGGCACCGUUUUCUUCUGUCGUGCUGCACGUCUGCGACUCUUGACAUUCGCGCACUGAAUGAAGCCAUUCAGCCUAUUGGGUUUGUACUGUGUCCGUUACGAUGAAGAAACACAUCCUUUCGCUUGCACUGGGAGCAUAUUUUUCAUCACACUCCGAUAGUCCAUUUAAAUGAAACUGAUCAUUUUGGGGCAAACAUGAAAUUCAGCUGCAUACCUGGAAGAGGAACUGAUGCCUACCACAGAAACUAUUAAUAACCUACUUAUAGUUACCAAAGGCUUAUAGAUAUUUUAAUGUGAAAGUUGGUUUAUUAUGUGGGCCUCAUUAAGUUAAGUUCUGUCUGAGCCCUCAAGGAGUAUUGAGUGGGUGAGAGAACAGCCUUUAACAGUUAGUUAACUUUGGUAUGGAGUGAAUUCGCAGGGGACCGUUGGUGGGAUGGAGCAGGGGUGAAAUGGAGAUCUGAGAUUUUCUUGCUGUUUGUGCUCCUAGCUCAGAAGUAAACAAAAUAAUUAAUUGCAAUCAUGUGAAAAUUUUCUGAAU